AUUGAACGCUGGCGGCAGGCCUAACACAUGCAAGUCGAACGAGUGGCGGACGGGUGAGUAAUGACUGGGAAACUGCCCGAUGGAGGGGGGUAACUACUGGAAACGGUAGCUAAUACCGCAUACCAUCGGAUGUGCCCAGAUGGGAUUAGCUAGUAGGUGGGGUAACGGCUCACCUAGGCGACGAUCCCUAGCUGGUCUGAGAGGAUGACCGGCCACACUGGGACUGAGACACGGUCCAGACUCCUACGGGAGGCAGCAGUGGGGAAUAUGGCGCAAUGGGCGCAAGCCUGAUGCAGCCAUGCCGCGUGUAUGAAGAAGGCCUUCGGAUUGUAAAGUACUUUCAGCAAGGAGGCGUUACUCGCAGAGGAAGCACCGGCUAACUCCGUGCCAGCAGCCGCGGUAAUUC
rnacentral:rRNA from 1 species